AGCGAACGCUGGCGGCAGGCCUAACACAUGCAAGUCGAACGGAUCCUUCGGGAUUAGUGGCGGACGGGUGAGUAACACGUGGGAACGUGCCCUUUGGUUCGGAACAACUCAGGGAAACUUGAGCUAAUACCGGAUGUGCCCUUCGGGAGAAAGAUUUAUCGCCAUUGGAGCGGCCCGCGUCUGAUUAGCUAGUUGGUGAGGUAACGGCCCACCAAGGCGACGAUCAGUAGCUGGUCUGAGAGGAUGAUCAGCCACACUGGGACUGAGACACGGCCCAGACUCCUACGGGAGGCAGCAGUGGGGAAUCUUGCGCAAUGGGCGAAAGCCUGACGCAGCCAUGCCGCGUGAAUGAUGAAGGUCUUAGGAUUGUAAAAUUCUUUCAGCGGGGACGAUAAUGACGGUACCCGCAGAAGAAGCUCCGGCUAACUUCGUG
rnacentral:rRNA from 1 species